rnacentral:rRNA from 1 species
UACGAAGGGGGCUAGCGUUGCUCGGAAUCACUGGGCGUAAAGGGUGCGUAGGCGGGUCUUUAAGUCAGGGGUGAAAUCCUGGAGCUCAACUCCAGAACUGCCUUUGAUACUGAAGAUCUUGAGUUCGGGAGAGGUGAGUGGAACUGCGAGUGUAGAGGUGAAUUCGUAGAUAUUCGCAAGAACACCAGUGGCGAAGGCGGCUCACUGGCCCGGUACUGACGCUGAGGUGCGAAAGCGUGGGGAGCAAACAGG